UACGGAGGGUGCAAGCGUUAUCCGGAUUUACUGGGUUUAAAGGGUGCGUAGGUGGGUAGGUAAGUCAGUGGUGAAAUCUUCAAGCUUAACUUGGAAACUGCCAUUGAUACUAUUUAUCUUGAAUACUUUGGAGGUAAGCGGAAUAUGUCAUGUAGCGGUGAAAUGCUUAGAUAUGACAUAGAACACCAAUUGCGAAGGCAGCUCACUACGCGAAUAUUGACACUGAGGCACGAAAGCGUGGGGAUCAAACAGG
rnacentral:rRNA from 1 species